rnacentral:rRNA from 1 species
GACGAACGCUGGCGGCGUGCUUAACACAUGCAAGUCGAACGGAAAGGCCCUGCUUGCAGGGUACUCGAGUGGCGAACGGGUGAGUAACACGUGGGUGAUCUGCCCUGCACUUCGGGAUAAGCCUGGGAAACUGGGUCUAAUACCGGAUAGGAGCCAUUUUUAGUGUGAUGGUUGGAAAGUUUUUUCGGUGUAGGAUGAGCUCGCGGCCUAUCAGCUUGUUGGUGGGGUAAUGGCCCACCAAGGCGGCGACGGGUAGCCGGCCUGAGAGGGUGGACGGCCACAUUGGGACUGAGAUACGGCCCAGACUCCUACGGGAGGCAGCAGUGGGGAAUAUUGCACAAUGGGCGCAAGCCUGAUGCAGCGACGCCGCGUGGGGGAUGACGGCCUUCGGGUUGUAAACUCCUUUCGCUAGGGACGAAGCUUUUUGUGACGGUACCUAGAGAAGAAGCACCGGCUAACUACGUG